rnacentral:rRNA from 1 species
AGCCAGACUCCUACGGGAGGCAGCAGUGGGGAAUAUUGGGCAAUGGGGGAAACCCUGACCCAGCAACGCCGCGUGAGGGAAGAAGGUUUUCGGAUCGUAAACCUCUGUCCUUGGUGAAGAGAAGAAGACGGUAGCCAAGGAGGAAGCCCCGGCUAACUACGUGCCAGCAGCCGCGGUAAUACGUAGGGGGCAAGCGUUGUCCGGAAUGAUUGGGCGUAAAGGGCGCGUAGGCGGCCUGGUAAGUCUGGAGUGAAAGUCCUUCUUUUAAGGAGGGAAUUGCUUUGGAUACUGCUGGGCUUGAGUGCAGGAGAGGUAAGUGGAAUUCCCAGUGUAGCGGUGAAAUGCGUAGAUAUUAGGAGGAACACCAGUGGCGAAGGCGGCUUACUGGACUGUAACUGACGUUGAGGCUCGAAAGCGUGGGGAGCAAACAGGAUUAGAUACCCUCGUA